GCUUAAUCUUGCCUCUUUAGUCAAACUCUUUAGUCAAUUUAGUCGAUUAAAACACAUUAAUUAUGGGGACAGAGAUGUGUCAACACUAACUCUGAGGACUUAAUUUCUGCUGGGAAAGAUAAGACAGGACAAUAACAUAACCUUUAGCAAAAGAAUUUUCCUCAUCUACAAACAAGGGAGCCGAAAGAGGACUUUAAAGUAGCUGUCAAAAGUAGAUUCUAUUAACUUCUGGCCCAAACAUGGGUGGACUGUCCAACACUUGAAUCUUGUUAAAGUCUCCUAAAUAUUACUGACCACUGGCUGUCUAUCUCCAAGAAAUACUUCUUGCUUCCCUUUCCACCCCUGCUUUACCUAUGAAUUGACAUGAAUUGACAGGAAUCAAAAACCCAGGUUCCAGCUGGAGUCCAUCACAUUCCG
rnacentral:lncRNA from 1 species